AUACGUAGGGGGCAAGCGUUGUCCGGAAUUAUUGGGCGUAAAGAGCGCGUAGGCGGCUUUCCAAGUCCGGUGUGAAAUCUCAGGGCUUAACCCUGAGCCUGCAUUGGAAACUGGUUUGCUAGAGUUCGGUAGAGGAGAUUGGAAUUCCUGGUGUAGCGGUGAAAUGCGCAGAUAUCAGGAAGAACACCAGUGGCGAAGGCCGAUCUCUGGGCCGUAACUGACGCUGAGGCGCGAAAGCUAGGGGAGCAAACAGGAUUAGAAACCCCAGUAGUCC
rnacentral:rRNA from 1 species